CCUGGCGACCAUAGCGGCUUGGAACCACCUGAAUCCAUCUCGAACUCAGAAGUGAAACAGGCCCGCGCCAAUGAUAGUGUGAGGUCUCCUCAUGUGAAAGUAGGUCAUCGCCAGGG
rfam:Legionella tucsonensis strain ATCC 49180 Ltuc_ctg001, whole genome shotgun sequence.